UCUUCGUCUUCGAUUCCCCAAUCCCACUUCCCCGUCUCCGUCUCCUCCCUUCCCCCCCACCCCCCCAAAAAAAAAUCCUCCUAAAUUGCCAGUCUGCGCACCUGCCGGCGGAACCCUAGCUCCGGAGCUACUUGCCAGAUCAGGGCGGCUGAAUCGGCGGCUCCUUCCCUAGCGCCGCACUUUCGGAGGCUUGCGCCGCUCGGCGCGUCCCCAGCCCGCAUCUUUCCUCCGUCUGCACCUUCAGGAUUCGCGCCGCUCCGGCCUGAGGGCUUUGGAGGCUUGCUGUUGCUGCCCUCCUCUUCACCGCCGUGCGUGCAGAUGAGUCCGAUAUGCUUGGUCAAGUUUAGUGCAGCUGCCCCCUAUUAAUUCCAUUUUCAGGAGUCCGAUAUCCAGAAGGCAUCGAGCACUCUAUGCACCAUCCAAUCUCGCCGCUCUACCAACUUCGCCUAAACACCGACUGCCAAUGCUCCAUAUACCAUCAUACAAUCUUGCCAUUCUACCUCCUUCGCCAGAACACCGGCAGCCGCUCCAUCUGAGUUACAAAUUGAAUUCAACAUGUCAGUUGAGGAAGCUGCUGAGCUAGCAUGGCAGGCUAUUUAUCAUGCAACAUUCCUUAACGGAGGUAGUGAUGUGAUCAGAUGAGCACGGGGAAGAAGGGAAAUGAUAUUCCAUGUGUCAAGCGGGCAAGAGCAUCAAUCUUCGAUGCCAUCACAUCCAGCCAUUUGGGAUGAACAAGCUCACGAUAAGAAGUCAUCUUGGGAAGAGCUGCACAGUAACCAUAGCAGUCAAUAGGCAAAAGCGAGGUAGAAGCGGGCGAGCUCGAAAGCCAUCAGUAGGCUAGGUUGGAAUAGAGAUUAUGAUGGUGUAAAUUAAGCCACACCUUUCUGUUUACAAAUGUACAGUGUUGUAGAGUAUCAAAGGUGUUGUAGAGUAUCGAAGGUGUUGUAGAGUAUAGACAUGGCUCUUGACAUCAAGGCAAACCUCCCUACAAUAUUUUAAACAAUAUAAAGGGUUAUGGUGAAUAGGCGUAGAGAAGAGAACUGAGUGUGAACCAUGACAGCAAAAGGCUUAUAGAUAAGACCUCACUAUGAGAAGAAAUAAAGUAUAUCUAGGUGUGUCGAGAGAAGUCACUAGUGGAGGCAAAGGGAGAUGGACCCCUGAGAUCAGAGUAAACAAGGUCGAAAGGACGCUGAGACACUGUCUCGCUAUGACUAGGUACCUAGACCACGGAUUAGAGACAUCGUCGGAGACGGAUCCAAGAAGACCACGUUGAACUAAGGAUCAGCGUUCACAAGCGACCCAAGGCGAUGAUGCCACUCUUGAAAAUAGUUGGUAGACAAGGCAACAGAGGCAGAGACUGGCGCUGGCGGCAAAGGGACUUGAUCCAGCAUCCCACGUGCAUGUGCCUCUCCGUACCCUGCCGAUUCGGCUUGGUGUUCUUCUCCUACUCGCGGGUUGUGUGCCACGCACUUGAUUAAGCACCCCAGGUUUUCCUAUUGUGCGCCCUUGGCCUUGACAUUAGGUAGCACCUGUCGUCGGCUCGCCCCGUUCAUAAUCCAGGUACGCGUCGACUGUCCUUGCUCUUGCUGACCAUUGGUGAUGCUUGAGCGUGCGGUUAUGGUGUUGCACAACAAGGGAACGCGGGGUGUGGGAUUGAGACAGUGCUCAUAAAACUCGUAGCAAGGUAAAGGUUCCUAUGCAGACUCGCAGGGAGCGGAGGUGGUCACAAAUGUGGAUGUUGGCUCCAUAGGAGUCUCAACAACGCGCUUAUCACUAAGAGCAACAUGAGCAAGAAGAUCCUGGAUAUACUUCUCCAGGAAAUACGGAACAAUCUCAAGGAAGUAGCGACGAGGACCAAGAUCAAACAUAGAAAAUUCAUUAUGACGAGCCUUAACAAAUGUACCGUUCUUAAGAGUCGUCGCCAGUGAUGAUCGACAUGUAGAAGUGUUCGACCACGAGUUGAAUGGUGGACCUUAAGUGGAGGAUCAUGAGCACUCGCCAAAAACCAGUCGCAAUCACCACUGAAACAUCGCUCUAACCAGGCACGAGGGUUUGCUUAGGGCCAUAUAGACAGCGGCGAAGACGGCAAACCAUGCCAUCAGGAAGAGAACCCAAGUGGUGGCUACAUGUUGGCAUUCUUGACAUCAAGCUGAGAGACAGACUAGCGACGAAUAGAAACCACAUUGAGAAGUGUGCGAAGAGUGGUCGUGUGGGCCAUAUAUAUUUAUCGUAGUCAUGACCAUGUUGUCACCACUAAACGAGUUGUGUAAUGCUCGAGAGUAUCAUCAGUCUUAACCUUGUAAACCCACUUACAAGUGAUGAGAUGAGCACGGGGAAGAAGGGAAAUGAUAUUCCAUGUGUCGAGCGGGCAAGAGCAUCAAUCUUCGAUGCCAUCACAUUUAACCAUUUGGGAUGAACAAGCUCACGAUAAGAAGUCGUCUCGGGAAGAGCUGCACAAUAGCCAUAGUAGUCAAUAGGCAAAAGCGAGGUAGAAGCGGGCGAGCUCGAAAGCGAUCAGUAUGCUAGGUUGGAAUAGAGAUUACGAUGGUGUAAAUUAAGCCACACCUUUCUGUUUACAAACGUAAAGUGUUGUAGAGUAUCAAAGGUGUUGUAGAGAAUAGACAUGGCUCUUGACAUCUAGGCAAACCUCCCUACAAUUUCUAAAACAAUAUAAUGCAUUAUGGUGAAUAGGCGUAGAGAAGAGAACUGAGUGUGAACCAUGACAGCAAAAAGCUUAUAGAUAAGACCUCACUAUAAGAAGAAAUAAAGUAUAUCCAGGUGUGUCGAGAGAAGUCACUAGCGGAGGCAAAGGGAGAUUGACCCGUGAGAUCGGAGUAAACAAGGUCGAAAGGACGCUGAGACACUGUCUCGCUAUGACUAGUUACCUGGACCACGGAUUAGAGACAUCGUCGGAGACGGAUCCAAGAAGACCACGUUGAACUAAGGAUCAGCGUUCACAAGCGACCCAAGGCGAUGAUGCCACUCUUGAAAAUAGUUGGUAGACAAGGCAACAGAGGCAGAGACUGGCGCUGGCGGCAAAGGGACUUGAUCCAACAUCCCACGUGCAUGUGCCUCUCCGUACCCUGCCGAUUCGGCUUGGUGUUCUUCUCCUACUCGCGGGUUGUGUGCCACGCACUUGAUUAAGCACCCCAGGUUUUCCUAUUGUGCGCCCUUGGCCUUGACUUUAGGUAGCACCUGUCGUCGGCUCGCCCCGUUCAUAAUCCAGGUACGCGUCGAUUGUCCUUGCUCUUGCUGACCAUUGGUGAUGCUUGAGCGUGCGGUUAUGGUGUUGCACAACAAGGGAACGCGGGGUGUGGGAUUGAGACAGUGCUCAUAAAACUCGUAGCAAGGUAAAGGUUCCUAUGCAGACUCGCAGGGAGCGGAGGUGGUCACAAAUGUGGAUGUUGGCUCCAUAGGAGUCUCAACAACGCGCUUAUCACUAAGAGCAACAUGAGCAAGAAGAUCCUGGAUAUACUUCUCCAGGAAAUACGGAACAAUCUCAAGGAAGUAGCGACGAGGACCAAGAUCAGACAUACAAAAUUCAUUAUGACGAGCCUUAACAAAUGUACUGUUCUUAAGAGUCGUCGCCAGUGAUGAUCGACAUGUAGAAGUGUUCGACCACGAGUUGAAUGGUGGACCUUAAGUGGAGGAUCAUGAGCACUCGCCAAAAACCAGUCGCAAUCACCACUGAAACAUCGCUCUAACCAGGCACGAGGGUUUGCUUAGGGCCAUAUAGACAGCGGCGAAGACGGCAAACCAUGCCAUCAGGAAGAGAACCCAAGUGGUGGCUACAUGUUGGCAUUCUUGACAUCAAGCUGAGAGACAGACUAGCGACGAAUAGAAAACACAUUGAGAAGUGUGCGAAGAGUGGUCGUGUGGGCCAUAUAUAUUUAUCGUAGUCAUGACCAUGUUGUCACCACUAAACGAGUUGUGUAACGCUCGAGAGUAUCAUCAGUCUUAACCUUGUAAACCCACUUACAAGUGAUGUGAUGAGCACGGGGAAGAAGGGAAAUGAUAUUCCAUGUGUCGAGCGGGCAAGAGCAUCAAUCUUCGAUGCCAUCACAUUUAACCAUUUGGGAUGAACAAGCUCACGAUAAGAAGUCGUCUCGGGAAGAGCUGCACAAUAGCCAUAGUAGUCAAUAGGCAAAAGCGAGGUAGAAGCGGGCGAGCUCGAAAGCGAUCAGUAUGCUAGGUUGGAAUAGAGAUUACGAUGGUGUAAAUUAAGCCACACCUUUCUGUUUACAAACGUAAAGUGUUGUAGAGUAUCAAAGGUAUUGUAGAGAAUAGACAUGGCUCUUGACAUCUAGGCAAACCUCCCUACAAUUUCUAAAACAAUAUAAUGCAUUAUGGUGAAUAGGCGUAGAGAAGAGAACUGAGUGUGAACCAUGACAGCAAAAAGCUUAUAGAUAAGACCUCACUAUAAGAAGAAAUAAAGUAUAUCCAGGUGUGUCGAGAGAAGUCACUAGCGGAGGCAAAGGGAGAUUGACCCGUGAGAUCGGAGUAAACAAGGUCGAAAGGACGCUGAGACACUGUCUCGCUAUGACUAGUUACCUGGACCACGGAUUAGAGACAUCGUCGGAGACGGAUCCAAGAAGACCACGUUGAACUAAUGAUCAGCGUUCACAAGCGACCCAAGGCGAUGAUGCCACUCUUGAAAAUAGUUGGUAGACAAGGCAACAGAGGCAGAGACUGGCGCUGGCGGCAAAGGGACUUGAUCCAGCAUCCCACGUGCAUGUGCCUCUCCGUACCCUGCCGAUUCGGCUUGGUGUUCUUCUCCUACUCGCGGGUUGUGUGCCACGCACUUGAUUAAGCACCCCAGGUUUUCCUAUUGUGCGCCCUUGGCCUUGACUUUAGGUAGCACCUGUCGUCGGCUCGCCCCGUUCAUAAUCCAGGUACGCGUCGAUUGUCCUUGCUCUUGCUGACCAUUGGUGAUGCUUGAGCGUGCGGUUAUGGUGUUGCACAACAAGGGAACGCGGGGUGUGGGAUUGAGACAGUGCUCAUAAAACUCGUAGCAAGGUAAAGGUUCCUAUGCAGACUCGCAGGGAGCGGAGGUGGUCACAAAUGUGGAUGUUGGCUCCAUAGGAGUCUCAACAACGCGCUUAUCACUAAGAGCAACAUGAGCAAGAAGAUCCUGGAUAUACUUCUCCAGGAAAUACGGAACAAUCUCAAGGAAGUAGCGACGAGGACCAAGAUCAGACAUACAAAAUUCAUUAUGACGAGCCUUAACAAAUGUACUGUUCUUAAGAGUCGUCGCCAGUGAUGAUCGACAUGUAGAAGUGUUCGACCACGAGUUGAAUGGUGGACCUUAAGUGCGGGAUCAUGAGCACUCGCCAAAAACCAGUCGCAAUCACCACUGAAACAUCGCUCUAACCAGGCACGAGGGUUUGCUUAGGGCCAUAUAGACAGCGGCGAAGACGGCAAACCAUGCCAUCAGGAAGAGAACCCAAGUGGUGGCUACAUGUUGGCAUUCUUGACAUCAAGCUGAGAGACAAACUAGCGACGAAUAGAAGCCACAUUGAGAAGUGUGCGAAGAGUGGUCGUGUGGGCCAUAUAUAUAUAGGAGAAAACGUUUUAUCGUAGUCAUGACCAUGUUCUCACCACUAAACGAGCUGUGUAACGCUCGAGAGUAUCAUCAGUCUUAACCUUGUAUACCCACUUACAAGUGAUCAGAUGAGCACGGGGAAGAAGGGAAAUGAUAUUCCAUGUGUCAAGCGGGCAAGAGCAUCAAUCUUCGAUGCCAUCACAUCCAGCCAUUUGGGACGAAUCAGCAAGUGUUACUGGUAUUUUCUGAUGCUUUUCAUGGCAGGCUUUUGCUGUUCUAGAGAACGAGCUACUGCAGUUCACUGCAGAAUAUAACAUGCCCGCAUCAUCAUUCAGCCUGCUGAAGAAAAUAAUUCCAAGCAUUGAUUCCAAUGAGUUGUACCAGUAAAAAGAACCUAUGAUUCCACGAGCUGCAGGAACUGUUGGGUUGGAAUGGCCUCCUCUGUGUUCUAGACACUGAGUUACUACUGCAGCUGGUGGAAAAGGAGGUCAGUAGAGAUUAAUUUCCUAGCUGGUCUUAAUUCUGGGUUACUUUCUUUUCUCUGGUGUAUUCCCUCCUAAACGAUCUUAUAUUAGUUUACAGAGGGAGUACAUUUUAGUAGUACUACGUUAUUUAUAUGAUGGAUGCCAUGGAUUCUUAGUAAUGCCCAUGAACAUGAUGGUUGCAUGUUCGUGUGGGACCGCAAGUACCCCAUGAACGCGCCGCUGAAAGAGACGGUCACCAACAUCUAGCCGCAGGUAGCCAAGAUCGAGGAUGGCGUGAAAGUCAUGGUUGCUGUGGCCCAAGUCAAGCUGAAGAGAGUAGAAACACGUACAGUUCUGUUGGUAGUUGUGUCCCAAAAAGCCAUGGAGUGGAUUCUGUACUUCAGGUUUCGCUGGCUCAGAACUUGGAAGCGAACAAGUGCCAUGGCGAACUGCUUUGAGCUUGAUGAAGUGCAUAUGAAGGCAAAGGUUGCUGGAUGUUACAUACUCCCUCCGUUUCAAAAUAGAUGACCCAAUUUUGUAUUAAUGCUUUACUUUCAAAUUCUCUGAAUUCUUUCACGUAACAUUUCUUGCUUAUAGGUUCUAUCUUGUUUUAAGUUGCCUGGUGGUGUAUGAGCAAGGCUGGAGAUAUAUAGGCUUAUAGUCCAACAGUCAGAGGUUGAUUUGCUAUUCCUCGGUCUAUGUAAAUGUAUAAAUCGAUGAUGAUGUACAAACAAAUGAUAUUUUGUUUUUUAGGCCUCUGCAUCUGGGAGAUGCACGCGGUCAUUUUAUUGAUUA